GGUUUCGGUUUGGUCUGGACGACAUCGGAGAGCAGCGAUGCAGUAGAGGAUGGACACGAGAGAAAGUAAACGCAAACGCAAAUUUGACAUUUGGAUGGAUAAGUGUGAAAAUUUUUAGAAUAUUGCAAUGGAUAUUUUGCUUUCGCAUGUGAAUCAUCAAUUCCUUGUGGCUUUGUUAUAUAGUCACACAAGUUGUAAAGAAUGACGGCUUUCGCGUGGCUUGAGUUCUUGAAACUCAAAAAAGUCAUACAAAACAAAACUUAAGAAAGAAAAAAAAAGAGACAUGGGCUUAUAUUUCUUUACGCGGUCCCUGGAUUCGAGAAUUAAAUAAUGUAAUUUCUGUCUUUCUUGGUGUCUUUGUUCAG